rnacentral:rRNA from 1 species
UACGUAGGGGGCAAGCGUUGUCCGGAAUCAUUGGGCGUAAAGAGCGUGUAGGCGGUUCGGUAAGUCGGCUGUGAAAGUCCAGGGCUCAACCCUGGGAUGCCGGUCGAUACUGCCGGACUAGAGUUCGGAAGAGGCGAGUGGAAUUCCCGGUGUAGCGGUGAAAUGCGCAGAUAUCAGGAGGAACACCAAUUGCGAAGGCAGCUCGCUGGGACGUUACUGACACUGAGGCGCGAAAGCGUGGGGAGCGAACAGG